rnacentral:rRNA from 1 species
CUCGUAGUUGGAUUUCUUUUGCGUGGGCAGGGUUUGGGAUUGCUUUCGGGCUUGUCUCGGGGGCGUCCUUCCUCUUGCGCGAAAUACUUGUGUAACUUGUCGCAAGACAUAUGGGUUAUACAUCAUUUACUGUGAAAGAAUCAAAGCGUUCAAAGCAGGCUUUAUGCAAUGAAUGUCUCAGCAUGGAAUAAUAAUUUAAGCCAUCGUCUUAUUUUGUUGGUUUACAAGAUGAAGGAAUGUUUAAUAGGAUCAGUCGGGGAUAUCCGAACUUGGAAGUCAGAGGUGAAAUUCUUGGAUUUUCCAAAGUCGAACUACUGCGAAAGCAUUUAUCAAGGAUGUUUUCAUUAAUCAAGAACGAAAGUUUGGGGAUCGAAGAUGAUUAGAUACCAUCGUAGUCUAAACCAUAAACUAUGCCGAUUCGGGAUCGUCCUUGGAUAUCAUUAUCUAGGGCGGCACCGUACGCGAAAGCAAAAUCUUUGGGUUCUGGGGGGAGUAUGAUCGCAAGGUUGAAACUUAAAGGAAUUGACGGAAGGGCACCAUCAGGCGUGGAGCCUGCGGCUCAAUUUGACUCAACUCGGGAAAACUUAGCAGGGCAGGACAAAAUAAGGAUUGACAGAUUGAGAGCUCUUUCUUGAUUCUUUGGGUGGUGGUGCAUGGCCGUUCUUAGUUGGUGGAGUGAUUUGUCUGGUUAAUUCCGUUAACGAACGAGACCUCAACCUAUUAAAUAGUGAAAUCAUUCUUACGGAUGAGGAAUACUUCUUAGAGGGACUUUUCGCUUUUAGCGGAAGGAAGUUUGAGGCAAUAACAGGUCUGUGAUG